rnacentral:rRNA from 1 species
AAUGAACGCUGGCGGCAUGCCUUACACAUGCAAGUCGAACGGUAACGCGGGGCAACCUGGCGACGAGUGGCGAACGGGUGAGUAAAGCAUCGGAACGUGCCCAGUAGUGGGGGAUAGCCCGGCGAAAGCCGGAUUAAUACCGCAUACGACCUAUGGGUGAAAGGGGGGGAUCGCAAGACCUCUCGCUAUUGGAGCGGCCGAUGUCAGAUUAGGUAGUUGGUGGGGUAAAGGCCUACCAAGCCGACGAUCUGUAGCUGGUCUGAGAGGACGACCAGCCACACUGGGACUGAGACACGGCCCAGACUCCUACGGGAGGCAGCAGUGGGGAAUUUUGGACAAUGGGCGCAAGCCUGAUCCAGCCAUGCCGCGUGCGGGAAGAAGGCCUUCGGGUUGUAAACCGCUUUUGUCAGGGAAGAAAUCCUUUGGGUUAAUACCUCGGGGGAUGACGGUACCUGAAGAAUAAGCACCGGCUAACUACGUGCCAGCAGCCGCGGUAA